CGAGGACGCGGAGGACAUUAUUGAAUUUAUGAGGGGAUAUUUGGUUGUAGCUGGCUCAUGAAUUUGGGCAUGUGCACACCUAUCUCUUUCAUCCACACACACCUGUGCACUUGUGAGGCAGAUGGGGAAUUUAUUGAUUGUUUUUUAAGAACAAUUGGUGCUGGACCCUCUGUCUACUCAAUACAUAAACUCAAUUUAUUUAGAAAUGAAUGUAAUGGAUGUAACGCAUCUAAUACUAAGUUUCAACAACGGAUCUCUUGGCUCUCGCAUCGAUGAAGAACGCAGCGAAAUGCGAUAAGUAAUGUGAAUUGCAGAAUUCAGUGAAUCAUCGAAUCUUUGAACGCACCUUGCGCUCCUUGGUAUUCCUUGGAGCAUGCCUGUUUGAGUAUCAUGAAAUCUUCAAAGUAAAUCUUUUGUUAACUCGAUUGGUUCUACUUUGGUAUUGGAGGUCUUUGCAGCUUCACACCUGCUCCUCUUCGUUCAUUAGCUGGAUCUCAGUGUUAUGCUUGGUUCCACUCAGCGUGAUAAGUUAUCUAUCGCUGAGGACACUGUAACAGGUGGCCAAGGGAAAUGCAGAUGAACCGCUUCUAAUAGUCCAUUGACUUGGACACUAUUUUUAUGAUCUGAUCUCAAAUCAGGUAGGACUACCCGCUGAACUUAAGCAUAUCAAUAAGCGGAGGAAAAAU
rnacentral:rRNA from 1 species